rnacentral:misc_RNA from 1 species
GUCGAUUUGUAUCUUGUUGCUUUGGCGGACCGGGCUGUGUCGACGCUGCCCGCAAGGACAUGCGACGGCCGCCCACCGGCUUCGGCUGGAGCGCGUCCGCCAAAGACCCAACCAAAACUCAUGUUGUCUUUGCAGUCUUAAGCUUUAUUAUUGAAUUGACA